rnacentral:misc_RNA from 1 species
UAAAAGAAAAGAAAAGAAAAGAAAUUCCUAGCAAAAGCAAAAAGCCAAGGACUUGGCAAUAUACCAUGAGAGAAGGAAAGGGCCAGAAGAACCAAAACAAGAAGAACCCAGAGAAAACAAGACCGACCCAUUAUUUCUUGCACAAUUCUGUCCUGAGAAAUGGGUAGACCUCGGAUUUUAUGAACAGCUUUUGGGUUUAUGCAAGACCGCACUGCCCCAGCUACAGAUCCAAGAAAGAGACUUUUAAAUGCCCUAUAUUCUUGUUGUGCGUUUAUGGUAACGAGUAGAGUAUAAUUUGGCACUUGAGAGAGCCAAUCGUUCGGUGCACCUAUACUUAUAUAUGGC